CGUGGCAAGGAUACUGCGAUGCG
rnacentral:miRNA from 1 species